rnacentral:rRNA from 1 species
GACGAACGCUGGCGGCGUGCUUAACACAUGCAAGUCGAGCGGUAAGGCCUUUCGGGGUACACGAGCGGCGAACGGGUGAGUAACACGUGGGUGACCUCGCCCUCCACUUCGGGAUAAGCCUGGGAAACUGGGUCUAAUACGGGAUGGGACCAUUCCAUGCAUGUGGGGUGGUGGAAAGUCGGUGCUGUUGUGGUGCUGGCGGU